rnacentral:tRNA from 1 species
GGUUAGAGCACUUGCCUGUGGAGCAAGGGGUUGGCGGUUCGAAUCCGCUCACUCACCC